CCUGGUCACACGUUGCUGUGGGAUGGCGUUCCAUUCCUCAACCAGGAUUCGUUGCAGUUACAGAUGGUGCUGCUUGAUCAUGAAACUCCAUUUGGAAAUGUGUUAUUUGUUGUUAAGAACUGCUGUUAAUCACCACAGGUCUGCCAUGGGUUACUGUGACGUCACUAUUUUGGUGUGAGCGCCAUCUUUUGGCCAACUUGGACUACUUCAAUUCUUCCUUCAGUCCAUGAGGAGGAACCACAGAGACAUGGAAACAUGAUGCCUCUGACUGUUGUGGGGA